GCUGCGACGCGGCCUGUGGGCCAGACUGAAUGAGGACGUUACACAAGCAAGUGCGUCUCGGCGUUUGUCGCAACAAACUGCAACGCGGAUGGGAUGCUGCAAGAUGUAUUGAAGAAGGGUACUUCGAGUGCUACACUUGGCAAGUUGCCGGAGUUUGACACCGACACUGGGGGCAUCGAAGUCUUCCUCGAUCGACUGCAGUGCUUCAUCGCUAACAACGACAUUGUAGGAGAAAUUACUGGUGUCCUUGACUGCAAUCGGCGAAAAAGUUUACGGAACGCUCAGGAGCUUGCUUCUUCCAAAGACGUCCACCAAGGUGACAUUCGAGGACAGCGUUGGCGCACUGAAAAAGCACUAUAUUCCCCGAAGUACCGUGGUGAAGAAAAGGUAUCGCUUCCAGCGACGAAAACGAGAGAAGCAUGAAGGUGUGAUGGACUUAUCGUGCGUCUCAAGAAAGUGGCAGGAACGCGCGCGUUCGGUGUGUUUCUAGAGGAAGCUCUGCGGGACCGGCUAAUCGCCGGUCUUCGAACAGAUGCUAUACGCUGCCGACUGACGUCUGACGCUGCCGUUAGCCACGCCUGAUGCUGAACUGACCUAGGAACGCACCUGCACGAGCGCCGUGCCUAUGAAAGGCGCGUCGGAAGACACUUAGCAAAUGGUCAGGAUGAGAAGCGAAGUUCUCGCUGCGGGCGUCUCCCCCCUUCGCUGACGAAGACCGGCCACAGGACGGCGUCAACAAGCAAGUGUUGGCAUGAACGCCAGGAGCAAUGCAUUCGCGAAGGCUGAAAAAACGGCGCCGCAUGGGACUAAAGCGUCGUGUCAUCGCGGUGCGGGACAUCAUGAGUCUUUGCCACUGCCACCCCGGAGACUGAUGUCUACCUUGUCACCUCAAAGCUAAAAGGAAAUAAGUUCAGUGCGGCGGCCUCUCCGCUGACCUGGCUCACCAUCAGCGUUGGCCAUCAGGAGCACUCCUUCGAACAUUGGGGCGUAGCAUUCCGAUACACCACCCCCCUCGCCAAGGGCUCCUGUACCUCCUCGUAGAAGCUGGACCUCAUCCGCCCACCGGACGGAUCGUCCGAGCGGCCUCUUUCCUCACGCAGGAGGAGCUGAAUGCUGGUGAUAAUACCACGCGGACAACCUGACGGACGUGUUUGUAGUGACGUCCCGGCUACAAGGCUCAGUGGUGGGCUCUGCGGUCACCCUGAUGGGGUGGCUUACGAGCCCCAUACCACAUCAGACUGAAGCUUACCGUCAUUGGGGCCUAGCGUUCCGACAUGGGCCGGAGACACCAGGACAAUUACUACAGGUGGUUGAUGCCGGCCCGCAUCCGGCCUCUGGCCGGAAUGUGGCGAGCACUACUUACCAAACAAUGGAAGAAUUGAGAGCCACCUGCACGAGCAUGCGGACAACCUGACGGAGGUGUUUGUAGUGACGUCCCGGCUACAAGGCUCAGUGGUGGGCUCUGCGGCCACCCUGAUGGGGUGGCUUACGAGCCCCAUACCACAUCAGACUGAAGCGUACCGUCAUUGGGGCCUAGCGUUCCGACAUGGGCCGGAGACACCAGGACAAUUACUACAGGUGGUUGAUGCCGGCCCGCAUCCGGCCUCUGGCCGGAUUGUGGCGAGCACUACUUACCAAACAAUGGAAGAAUUGAGAGCCACCUGCGCG